rnacentral:rRNA from 1 species
UAACUGGUUGAUCCUGCCAGUAACAUAUGCUUGUCUCAAAGAUUAAGCCAUGCAUGUCUAAGUAUAAGCACUUGUACUGUGAAACUGCGAAUGGCUCAUUAAAUCAGUUAUCGUUUAUUUGAUUGUACCUUUACUACUUGGAUAACCGUAGUAAUUCUAGAGCUAAUACAUGCGAAAAGUCCCGACUUCCGGAAGGGAUGUAUUUAUUAGAUUAAAAACCAAUGCGGGUUCACGCCCGGCUUUUUGGUGAUUCAUAAUAACUCUUCGAAUCGCAUGGCCUCACGCGCCGGCGAUGUUUCAUUCAAAUUUCUGCCCUAUCAACUGUCGAUGGUA